rnacentral:rRNA from 1 species
AUUGAACGCUGGCGGAAUGCUUUACACAUGCAAGUCGAACGGUAGAGGGGGCAACCCCUCGAGAGUGGCGAACGGGUGAGUAAUAUAUCGGAACGUGCCCAGUCGUGGGGGAUAACGUAGCGAAAGUUACGCUAAUACCGCAUACGAUCUAAGGAUGAAAGCGGGGGAUCGCAAGACCUCGCGCGAUUGGAGCGGCCGAUAUCAGAUUAGGUAGUUGGUGGGGUAAAGGCUCACCAAGCCAACGAUCUGUAGCUGGUCUGAGAGGACGACCAGCCACACUGGAACUGAGACACGGUCCAGACUUCUACGGGAGGCAGCAGUGGGGAAUUUUGGACAAUGGACGCAAGUCUGAUCCAGCCAUUCCGCGUGCAGGAUGAAGGCCCUCGGGUUGUAAACUGCUUUUGUACGGAACGAAAAGGUCUCUCUUAAUACGGGGGACUCAUGACGGUACCGUAAGAAUAAGCACCGGCUAACUACGUGCCAGCCGCCGCGGUAA